AUGUUGAGGACUCUGAUGAGAAUAGGGGGAGAAAAGUCAUUCCCCCUAGACGAUUUAGAGAGGAAGAAGUCUUGCCCAGCCAGCCCAGAUGGGCAAAACAGGCUCAAAGCUUUCAUGAGAAUGGUGG